AAUUACAUUGCUACCCCUGUAUAAAACUAUUACCUAUAGCCUCGUCAACUCAGUAAAGCUCUUUCAAUGUUUAUUCUUUUGUUUUUUUGCUAAGUAUGUGAAUAUCAUUAGAAAAUGAGAAGUUUUAUUUGUACAAAAUGUUUAAGCGGGCUAGCCCCUCUCUGGCAAAAAAGAAAAACAGAGAAAGACUACAAGGUACUAACUACUAGGUAGGUUAGUUUGAUCACUCAUACUUCAGCCAAAGUCUCAUUAGGUUACCGAACUUUUUGAGGUUCUUCCUUGCAAUGAUGGAGUUACGAACGAGUCUAUCAAUCUUUUUGAAAGUAUGCGACACCGGCGUUGAGAUCGAGUUAUGCAACCUGUUAUUACGCUCCCACCAGAGUGAAUAGACAGUCGCCUGAGCAGCUAACCGACGAAGCGUGAGGGGACAUACAUUGUCUCUCAAACCAAGCCAGUCCAUACAAUGUUUAUUCUUUCCCUUUGUUCACUUCGCCUCUCUCUCUCUCUCUUUAGUCUCUACAAAUUCACAGCAAAAAUAAAAGCUUCGAUUUUUGUUUCCAUCUUUGCAAAAAAAAGAAGCUUUGUAGUUAUCUGUUUGGGCUCAUCCGUUUUUUUUGCUCCGGGAUCUCAUUUUCCGGUUUCAGAUAAAGACAAAAGCUUAAAGCUUCCUCCGGUUUUGUCUUCGGGGUUGAAUAACAAAGCCAAGAAGAAAGGAUCAUCUCCCCACCUGACUCCUCCUCCGCCGAUCGCUUGCACACCAUUUUUUUGUUUUAUUUCUCAGGGGAAUUUUGUAUGUAUAUCUGGCUAAACAACCAUUUUAAUCAUAUCUAUUGCGAUUUGUUAAAGAUUUAAUUCUAUGUUUAGCCGGACAUCUAUAUCUAAUCAUAUGUUUUGUGAUUUAUUAGAGAGUUAAUUUUUUUGUUUA